CCUACGGGAGUCAGCAGUGGGGAAUAUUGCACAAUGGGGGGAACCCUGAUGCAGCGACGCCGCGUGAGUGAAGAAGUAUUUCGGUAUGUAAAGCUCUAUCAGCAGGGAAGAAGAUGACGGUACCUGACUAAGAAGCCCCGGCUAACUACGUGACAGCAGCCGCGGUAAUACGUAGGGGGCAAGUGUUAACCGGAUUUACUGGGUUGAAAGGGAGCGUAGACGGCAGGGCAAGUCUGGAGUGAAAGCGUGGGGGCCAACCCCGGGACUGCUUUGGAAACUGCCAUGCUAGAGUGCUGGGGAGGUAAGCGGAAUUCGUAGUGUAGCGGUGAAAUGCGUAGAUAUUAGGAGGAAAACCAGUGGCGAAGGCAGCUUACUGGACAGUAACUGACGUUGAGGCUCGAAAGCGUGGGGAGCAAACAGGAUUAGAUACCCGAGUAGUC
rnacentral:rRNA from 1 species